CAACAACCUCCGGCGAUGGAAAUGGUACAAACCUGUUAUGUCCUUGCUGAAAAAAAGAAAAAAAAAUCACCAUCAGCUUUUUUUCCCUACUGCGAUCUUGACUCCCGUUUAUUUCAAAGAAGGACACAGCAGUACAACCGACUGGAAUGUGUUUCUAACAUGGGCGGGAGCAGGUAGGCGUGAGCAACGCAACGCAGAUUCAGUCGCCCAGUUCAAUCCUAAGGAUGCUUCGAAGAUCUCAAAGGUACUGCCACCGUCCUCAAACCCAUGUCUGGAAAAUCAGUGAGCUUCUGUAGACUAAUGUUAUUGACCAUCCCCAACUGCUCCAUGUGAGAGGCAAGAAAAGUACCUGGAGAGAUUGUACAAACCCUGAAACCCAGAGGGACUGGAUGUGCUGCGGACACACCAGGUGCGGCUGAAGACCCAUCCCGCCAUAUCUGCCUCGGUAGUGAAGCCCUGGCCCCUCUGCAGUGUCCUCAGGAGGUAAGAAAAGGCACCCGUGCCGUUUCAACACUACCAGCAAUUUACUAACAAACGAGAGACAUUUCCACCCAUCAGUCUUCAUUUUUCAUAAAAGUGUGUGGCCAUUCUUUUAACUUCACCAGUGACGUGAUUAUUUAACAUAGCUCUUCACUGCAAUUUAGCUGAGACAGAUAUAUUUACUCACAAUUGAAAUCACUCAGUUUCUGCUUUUUUGUGCAUUCUCCCUGUCAAAUAAUCCGUAAUAAAAUAAUAAAUGCUCGCCCGCAACCCCUUUUGAAAAAAAUAUCCACCGGAGACAGACUAAUGGAAAGCCAAAGCCUGUCACUCAUCCUAUAGGAUCAGGAGGACCUCCUCUGGAGCAAGCAAAGGUCAAAACAACCGUUACCAUGGCAACUCCAUCCAGAUGUGUCGUUUCGGGCAUGGAGUCGCGCUGCGCGAGGAUAACGUAGGGAAGCCCACAGCCCGCUCGACCGCGAGCUCACCUGUAUUCGAGACUUACCAGUUUGAAAUGAUUUUCUGCCGUUUUAAUUGUUCUAAAUUCAUGUCUUGUGGUUUUUGCGCAAAUCAGCAAAGGAGGCCUCAAGUUAUUGUAGACAACGAAAAAAUUUUGACUGAUG